AGUCUCACCGAGAAGUGGCCAACCCAUUGAACCCGGUGGGAGUUUACCAUUGCAUCUGGGAUUUCUCCACCUGUAGACCCAGUGCGUGAUGAUUAUAAUAAUCACGGUUCCAGUGCACACACCCCACAUCGGACUCGAUUAUAUUAUUUAAUAUUGCAAAAGACGAUUACUGUGCUAUGAAUUUGCAGGAUUGCAAUGUGAGCAGAUGGCAAUGGAGCUGAUGAUGCGUAUAACAGAAGAGGGUAUUGCAGUAGCAGAAAUUAGAAGCGCUUUGAGGUUGGAAACGUGAGGAAGGGGAUAUAGAUUAUAGACAGGUAGGAGAAGAAAGUGCUGGCGUAUCUCGUCAACCAUGAGGAACUCCUUUUAAAUAGGUAGGCAGGCAAUACUCGCAACCAGUUAGAAAUUAAUUUUAUAAUAUUUGGCUCGUCAUUUGAAAAAAUUAUUGGUUACUUCAGAAUUUUAUAAUAUAUUUUAAAAUUUUAUUUUAUGAUUUUUUACCAAAAUUUAAAAUAUAUCAAUCAUAUUUAUAAGAUCACUAUAUAUUCAUGAAGCAUCUGACAAUUAC
rnacentral:lncRNA from 1 species